CGUUGGUGAGGUAACGGCUCACCAAGACAAAGAUCAGUAUCCGGCCUGAGAGGGCGCACGGACACACUGGAACUGAAACACGGUCCAGACUCCUACGGGAGGCAGCAGUGGGGAAUUUUGCGCAAUGGGGGAAACCCUGACGCAGCAACGCCGCGUGGAGGAUGAAGUCCCUUGGGAUGUAAACUCCUUUCGAUCGGGACGAUUAUGACGGUACCGGAAGAAGAAGCACCGGCUAACUCUGUGCCAGCAGCCGCGGUAAUAAUA
rnacentral:rRNA from 1 species